CCAUCAUAUCAUUAUCGUUGAUCGUCUCUCCACAUAAUUUCAAUUGAGAAGAAAUCUAAACAUGACAGAAUUGUACUCAUGAACAGACUUAUAGUCUUGAAAUCUCAAAUGCAUCCAUUCAUGUUGUGCUUUUGGGAGAAUGACCAUCUUUAAGAGGUCAAACCUUUCUUAUAGGCUAUUCCACAAUGUGAGUGAAUCCUUAGUGGUAAGGUAUUCAAUUUUUAGUACUUCGUCAAGAUAAUGAUGCAAAAAAAUCAUAGGCUUUCGAUUUUGACUAGAUGCUGUAUUUUAUUUCUUUAUGGCGUCUCCAAGACCUAUAGCAUUUAGGUGGAUUUCAGCAUCCAAAACCUAUGAAAUAUAGUUCUUGCCCGAACUUUGAAGGGCAACAAACUAACACUUCGUAAGAUGGUUAGUCAUAUGAAUAAGGAAAGAAAUAAAAGAGAAUAAUAUCUUAUCCUUAGCCUCCAAAUUUGAGAUGGUAGAGUCUCGUACUGAUAACGUGUUAUAAAGCAAUAAAGAAUAAAGAAGAAGAGUAGAGAGAGUAAUUG
rnacentral:lncRNA from 1 species